rnacentral:misc_RNA from 1 species
GUUUUUAACCACAGGACUUUGCCACAGUUCAACCACUACAACCACCCUCAACUCAUCAAAACACUGCAACAUUAGAGAAUUUUCAAUCUGUUGUCCUGUGCAACUGUUGCUUCCAGCCUCAGAAACAAUUUCUUGCAAAAUAGUUUGAUCUAUUUUGUCCCUUGUGACAAGCCACCAUAGCCAUACACAACCCACCCCUCUCCCUGUAUCAUACAACCAGUGUCACCAGAGUUAUUAAAGGCGAGCCUCAUGCACAAGGCACAAAGGAUGUAAAGGAAAGCAUGAAAUUCUUCUUUUCACUCUUGUUGCUACCAUUCAAGGACUUGUUUGUUCUCUGAAUUCAGUUCUUGAUUCUUGCGCACUACAAGACUCGAGGUCAAGUUUUCUCUAAAUAGAGAAGAACAAUGAAAUCAAGGAAGAUUCAAUUUAGGAA